rnacentral:rRNA from 1 species
GUGCCAGCCGCCGCGGUAAUACAGAGGGUGCAAGCGUUGUUCGGAAUUACUGGGCGUAAAGCGCGUGUAGGUGGCGAUGUAAGUCGGGUGUGAAAUCCCUUGGCUUAACCAAGGAAGUGCAUUCGAUACUGUGUCGCUUGAGUAUCGGAGGGGUCGGCGGAAUUCCCGGUGUAGAGGUGAAAUUCGUAGAUAUCGGGAGGAACACCUGUGGCGAAGGCGGCCGACUGGACGAUCACUGACACUGAGACGCGAAAGCGUGGGUAGCAAACAGGAUUAGAUACCCGCGUAGUCC